rnacentral:rRNA from 1 species
UACAGAGGUCUCAAGCGUUGUUCGGAUUCAUUGGGCGUAAAGGGUGCGUAGGCGGCGCGGUAAGUCGGGUGUGAAAUCUCGGGGCUUAACUCCGAAACUGCAUUCGAUACUGCCGUGCUUGAGGACUGGAGAGGAGACUGGAAUUUACGGUGUAGCGGUGAAAAUGCGUAGAUAUCGUAAGGGAAGACCAGUGGCGAAGGCGGGUCUCUGGACAGUUCCUGACGCUGAGGCACGAAGGCCAGGGGAGCAAACGGG